UUCCUUCAUCAUUUCCAAACAGCUCAUUUUUUUUCCUUGCUAUUAUCUCCACAAGACUGCAAAUUCUAGAGAGCUGCAGGUGACUUUUAACAGAAAUGAGGAAUGGAUACAAUGGAUAAUUUAAAGCAAGACAGACCUCAGCAGAAAGGAAAAGCUGCCUGCAGAGUGAAUGAUCAGAAAGAACAACACUAAGCAAGAAAAGGAGAAACGUUUAGAAAGGAGGUGGGAUAAAUACCCUAAUAUUCAUAAGACAUAGCUAGGGAAGAACCUGACUAUGGGAACAGCAACAUAUUUGGAUGUCUUUCACAGUCUUUGUAUUCUUCGUAUUGGAUAUCUAAGAAAUGUGCUGUACCUUGACAUUACUGCUUGCUCACCACUCCCUUUGAGUUAUGCAUAUGAAAUGAGAAAUAUGGAUAUAAUACCUUGCCUUGGUGAUUCCUUACAUGUUGACAAUCUUGACUAA
rnacentral:lncRNA from 1 species